CCCUUAGAUGUUCGGGGCCGCACGCGCGCUACACUGAAGGAAUCAGCACGUCUUUCUCCUUGUCCGAAAGGACUGGGUAACCCGCUGAACCUCCUUCGUGCUAGGGAUUGGGGCUUGUAAUUCUUCCCCAUGAACGAGGAAUUCCCAGUAGGCGCGAGUCAUCAGCUCGCGUCGAUUACGUCCCUGCCCUUUGUACACACCGCCCGUCGCUACUACCGAUCGGAUGGUUUAGUGAGACCCUCGGACUGGUCCCGUCGAAGCAGGCGACUGCCUCGACGCGCGCGCCGGGAAGAAGGUCGAACUUGACUAUCUAGAGGAAGUAAAAGUCGUAACA
rnacentral:rRNA from 1 species